rnacentral:tRNA from 5 species
GCCCGGGUGGUGAAACUGGUAUACACGCAAGACUUAAAAUUUUGUAGCCGCAAGGCUUUGUGGGUUCGAGUCCCACCCCGGGCACCA